rnacentral:snRNA from 1 species
AGCUUUGCUCAGUGGCAGUAUCGUAGUCAAUGAGGUUUAUCCGAGGGGCGAUUAUUGCUUUAAAAAAAAA